rnacentral:lncRNA from 13 species
AAAAUAACGACAAGUUAUUUUUAUGCAUUUACCAUUAUGAAAAGGUUAUUUUGAAUUCACAGAGUAGGUUUAGGCUAGGCUAUGCUGAAGGUGUGAGUGUAGGAUUAUAUAUGCAUGUUUGUAGCUAAUACAUGAUACAGCACCGAGUUUGCUACGUUGUUGCACUCGUUUCCAGUAUAAAGUGCAACGGGAGGGGCUUUGCGCGCGUCCUCUUGAUGCCAGGACAGCUGUACCAGACGGACAAACCGCAGACCAUGGGAGGGAAGCAAAUCAGGCUGAACUAAAGGUAAGAAACACUAACUGACCGGUUUCUUAACUGUUUAAAUUUAAAUGUAUAUUCCCAUUUUAGAUAUACAUGUAUGGCGUUAUACUGCUCACAAAAAUUCUGAAUGUAUUUAUAAAUUCUGAGUUGAUCUAUUUGAAAUCUGUGAAAAUAUUGUUUUGAGCCACGAAAGUCAGACCAUGUUGUGUGUUCAUAUCACAUCUAUCCCUUGACCCGUUGGUUUGAGGUAACUACUGUACAUAGAAAGCUCUCUCUCGGUUGAGAUUCCCAUCAACAAACAUGGAGUAUCUUAGUAUUUGUUUAACAGACAGUGUGAGCUGUGGCUUUCCUCAUAGGACAUACAGUAAUGUAGGCUAAUAUACAGUACUGUAGGCUAAUAUACAGUAAUGUAGGCUAAUAUACAGUAAUGAAACAAAUAUUGAAAAAAUGUAUUGCCCACAUGUGACACAAGGUCAGGAGUUCAUAUUGAUCAGGUGAGGUGGUGUUAUUUCUUAUUGUAUGGUAGACUGCAGUUUUACCAUAUUACAAAAAGGCAUUGGUGGUGUUCACAAUGACUGCCAAUGCACCGAAUGCUCCCUGGCCUCUCCUCUCCUCCUCUCAGCCUGGGUGUCAGAUCCAGAUGAACGUUGACUCUAAGCAGAGUCACAUUGUUACCGUGUGAGCAGGGUUACUUAUGGUCACGUGGUCCUGGAGCUUCUAGUAAUCCAUGGGUCUUUCAACACCUUUGUUUUACACCAGCAGUCUCUGGUCUGUGUGCUCCAUCCUCAUACAGUGGAUGACCAGAAGUACUGUACGUUCCCAGAGUGGGCCACUAACGAUGUUGACACUGGAGAAUUCAUUGUGAAGCAGUGGUGACCUAACUUGUCCUCUGCUUCAAGCCUUUUUAAGGGCCGGUCACAAAUCUAACUCAAGAUUUCAAGGAGCUGAUUGCAAUCAGCUUUUCAUGGCAGCCAGUAUUUAAAGGGCUAUAAAAAACGUUGCUGCUUCGACUUCUGAAAACACUGAGCCUACAUAUAACUGACAUGAUCAAGUAUGUGCAUCUCAAUCUGU